GCAGCAGGCACGCAAAUUACCCACUCCCGGCACGGGGAGGUAGUGACAAAAAAUAACGAUACGGGACUCUAUUGAGGCCCCGUAAUCGGAAUGAGUACACUUUAAAUCCUUUAACAAGGAUCCAUUGGAGGGCAAGUCUGGUGCCAGCAGCCGCGGUAAUUCCAGCUCCAAUAGCGUAUAUUAAAGUUGUUGCGGUUAAAAAGCUCGUAGUUGGUUCUGCGUGCCACGCUGUCGGUUCGCCGCCUGUCGGUGUAACUGGCAUGUCGUGGCAUGUCCUGUCGGUGGUGAACGGGAUCCCUGGUACGACGUAGGCUUUUAUAGCUGAAAUCUGUGCCGUGUGUGUUUCCGUUUGCCGAUCUCUCCUACUCCGGUGCUCUUAAACGAGUGUCGAGGUAGGCCGACACGUUCACUUUGAACAAAUUAGAGUGCUUAAAGCAGGCUAAAAUAUCUGCCUGAAUAGUGGUGCAUGGAAUGAUAAAACAGGACCUCAGUUCUAUUUUGUUGGUUUUAGGAAUAUGAGGUAAUGAUCAAUGUGGACUGGCGGGGGCAUUCGUAUUGCGACGUUAGAGGUGAAAUUCUUGGAUCGUCGCAAGACGCACUAGAGCGAAAGCAUUUGCCAAGUAUGUCUUAAUUGAUCAAGAACGAAAGUUAGAGGUUCGAAGGCGAUCAGAUACCGCCCUAGUUCUAACCAUAAACGAUGCCAGCCAGCGAUCCGCCGAUGUUCCUUUAAUGACUCGGCGGGGAGCUUCUACUCGGGAAACCAAAGCUUUUGGGUUCCGGGGGAAGUAUGGUUGCAAAGCUGAAACUUAAAGGAAUUGACGGAAGGGCACCACCAGGAGUGGAGCCUGCGGCUUAAUUUGACUCAACACGGGAAACCUCACCAGGCCAGGACAUUGGAAGGAUUGACAGAUUGAUAGCUCUUUCUUGAUUCAGUGGGUAGUGGUGCAUGGCCGUUC
rnacentral:rRNA from 1 species